GACGAAGGGGGCUAGCGUUGUUCGGAAUUGCUGGGCGUAAAGCGCGUGUAGGCGGUUGUCCAAGUUGGAUGUGAAAGCCUUGAGCUCAACUCAAGAAAUGCAUUCAGGACUGGAUGACUAGAGGACCGGAGAGGAUAGUGGAAUUCCCAGUGUAGUGGUGAAAUACGUAGAGAUUGGGAAGAACACCAGUGGCGAAGGCGGCUAUCUGGACGGUUUCUGACGCUAAGACGCGAAAGCGUGGGGAGCAAACAGG
rnacentral:rRNA from 1 species